UAUGCACAGUUGUGUGAAACCACUUCAUAUUUGAAAUUAUCCUUGGCCAGUCCUAUUCCUGUGUUAUUUUGUGACGUGGAAGAAUUGAUGAAAAGCCAAAAGUGCUGCAAGCAAAGAUUAUAGAAGUGUGGAGAUCACUCCCCUAUGUCCAAAGGUUUCCUGCUCCUUUUCCUUGAGUGAGAGGCCCUGGUGAGUGAUUCCACGCAGGUCUGCAUUUUCUUAUGCUCUGUCCAAGCAGAGAAGCAUUUUGCUGAGUCUCCAGAUCCUGGAAAGAGCAGCAUGGGAGAGCUCAGCUUUCCAUAAACCACCUUCACUCUCCCACUUAUGGAGUGAAGGAUAUCACACAACAGGACCAGAAUUCCUGACUCCUGCUGGAGUUUGCACCACCCCUGCUGGCAAGAGUACCCCAGGUUCAGAUAACAAACAAGCUCAGCAUCAGCUCUAAUGGUUUGUGCCUGGUUCUCACCACUCACAGUCCAAUGCCCCAGCUGUGAACUUUUAACCCUGAACUUGUUCCAGAUUGUGAGCCUGUGCAGCAGACAAGUCCCAGGCAGUAAAUCCUUUCAGACAAGUGCCUGAGCACGGGGGAAUGGAGCUGUUCACCUCCUGCCUGCCUGCUGCCUUUCUGCCCCCUCACGUGUGUGUUGGGAGCAGCAUUCUGCUCACCCUGGGCAGCCUAAGGAGGGGAAGACUGUGUGAUGCUGUGAGAAGAACCAAGGAUGCCUCCUGUGACUGAUCAGCCUGGUUCUGGAGAAAUACUGGAUUUACCAUCAUUUCCUGGCAGCUGAAGCAAAGGAACAUCCCAAAUACGCACCAGAGGGUCCUGCAACAGAACACAAAGAUGUUUUGUGAAAGAUUAAUGUAAAAUAAAGGCAUGGCCAGUCACUCAAA